rnacentral:tRNA from 1 species
GAGGGUAGAGCUCAGGGGCAGAGCGCGUGCUUAGUGUGCAUGAGGUCCUGGGUUCAAUCCCCAGUGCCUCCA